rnacentral:rRNA from 1 species
AGUGAACGCUGGCGGUAGGCCUAACACAUGCAAGUCGAACGGCAGCACAGUAAGAGCUUGCUCUUACGGGUGGCGAGUGGCGGACGGGUGAGGAAUACAUCGGAAUCUACUUUUUCGUGGGGGAUAACGUAGGGAAACUUACGCUAAUACCGCAUACGACCUACGGGUGAAAGCAGGGGAUCUUCGGACCUUGCGCGAUUGAAUGAGCCGAUGUCGGAUUAGCUAGUUGGCGGGGUAAAGGCCAACCAAGGCGACGAUCCGUAGCUGGUCUGAGAGGAUGAUCAGCCACACUGGAACUGAGACACGGUCCAGACUCCUACGGGAGGCAGCAGUGGGGAAUAUUGGACAAUGGGCGCAAGCCUGAUCCAGCCAUACCGCGUGGGUGAAGAGGGCCUUCGGGUUGUAAAGCCCUUUUGUUGGGAAAGAAAAGCAGCAGGUUAAUACCCCGCUGUUCUGACGGUACCCAAAGAAUAAGCACCGGCUAACUUCGUG